rnacentral:rRNA from 1 species
AUUGAACGCUGGCGGCAUGCCUUACACAUGCAAGUCGAACGGCAGCAUAGGAGCUUGCUCUUGAUGGCGAGUGGCGAACGGGUGAGUAAUAUAUCGGAACGUGCCCUAGAGUGGGGGAUAACUAGUCGAAAGACUAGCUAAUACCGCAUACGAUCUACGGAUGAAAGUGGGGGAUCGCAAGACCUCAUGCUCCUGGAGCGGCCGAUAUGUGAUUAGCUAGUUGGUGGGGUAAAAGCCUACCAAGGCAACGAUCAGGAGCUGGUCUGAGAGGACGACCAGCCACACUGGGACUGAGACACGGCCCAGACUCCUACGGGAGGCAGCAGUGGGGAAUUUUGGACAAUGGGGGCAACCCUGAUCCAGCAAUGCCGCGUGAGUGAAGAAGGCCUUCGGGUUGUAAAGCUCUUUUGUCAGGGAAGAAACGGUAGUAGCGAAUAACUACUACUAAUGACGGUACCUGAAGAAUAAGCACCGGCUAACUACGUGCCAGCAGCCGCCGUAA